CCUACGGGAGGCAGCAGUGGGGAAUUUUGGACAAUGGGCGAAAGCCUGAUCCAGCCAUACCGCGUGCGGGGAGAAGGCCUUCGGGUUGUAAACCGCUUUUGUCAGGGAAGAAAUACCUCGGGUUAAUACCCUGGGGUGAUGACGGUACCUGAAGAAUAAGCACCGGCUAACUACGUGCCAGCAGCCGCGGUAAUACGUAGGGUGCAAGCGUUAAUCGGAAUUACUGGGCGUAAAGCGUGCGCAGGCGGUUCUAUAAGACAGAUGUGAAAUCCCCGGGCUCAACCUGGGAACUGCAUUUGUGACUGUAGAGCUAGAGUACGGUAGAGGGGGAUGGAAUUCCGCGUGUAGCAGUGAAAUGCGUAGAUAUGCGGAGGAACACCGAUGGCGAAGGCAAUCCCCUGGACCUGUACUGACGCUCAUGCACGAAAGCGUGGGGAGCAAACAGGAUUAGAUACCCUGGUAGUCCACGCCCUAAACGAUGUCAACUGGUUGUUGGGAGGGUUUCUUCUCAGUAACGAAGCUAACGCGUGAAGUUGACCGCCUGGGGAGUACGGCCGCAAGGUUGAAACUCAAAGUGAAUUGACG
rnacentral:rRNA from 1 species